rnacentral:rRNA from 1 species
UGGGGAAUAUUGCACAAUGGAGGGAACUCUGAUGCAGCGACGCCGCGUGAACGAAGAAGGCUUUCGAGUCGUAAAGUUCUUUUAUAUGGGAAGAUAAUGACGGUACCAUAAGAAAAAGCCCCGGCUAACUACGUGCCAGCAGCCGCGGUAAUACGUAGGGGGCUAGCGUUGUCCGGAAUCACUGGGCGUAAAGGGUUCGCAGGCGGAAAUGCAAGUCAGGUGUAAAAGGCAGUAGCUUAACUACUGUAAGCAUUUGAAACUGCAUAUCUUGAGAAGAGUAGAGGUAAGUGGAAUUUUUAGUGUAGCGGUGAAAUGCGUAGAUAUUAAAAAGAAUACCGGUGGCGAAGGCGGCUUACUGGGCUCAUUCUGACGCUGUGGAACGAAAGCGUGGGUAGCAAACAGG